rnacentral:rRNA from 1 species
ACUCCGGUUGAUCCUGCCGGCGGCCACUGCUAUCGGGCUGGGUCAGCCAUGCAAGUCUGCUGAGCUUUAAGCUCAGCGGCGCACGGCUCCGUAAUAUGCAGACAACUUACUCUGAGGUGGGGGAUAACCCCGGGAAACUGAGGCUAAUCCCCCAUAGUUGAGAGCUUCUGGAAGGCCUCUCAACGAAAGGUUCAUCCGGAUGUGGAUGAGCCGCCUCAGAAUAGGUCUGCAUCCUAUCAGGUAGUUGGUGGGGUAAUGGCCCACCAAGCCUAAGACGGGUACGGGCCCUGAGAGGGGGCGCCCGGAGAGGGACACUGAGACAAGGGUCCCAGCCCCACGGGGUGCAGCAGGCGCGAAUUUUCCACAACUCCCGAAAGGGAGGUGGAGCCAGCCCGAGUGCCUUCACCUCUUGGUGGAGGCUUUUGCCCUGUGUAAAAAGCAGGGCGAAUAAGCGGGGGGCAAGAUGGGUGCCAGCAGCCGCGGUAAUACCCACCCCGCGAGUGGUGGCCACAAUUAUUGGGUUUAAAACACCCGUAGCCGGCCCAGCAAGUGCUCUGUGAAAUCCUCACUUGCAGUGAGGGCGGGCAGAGCAUACUGCUGGGCUAGGGACCGGGAGGGGCCAGGGGUAUUCCUGGAGGAGGGGUAAAAUCCUAUCAUCCCAGGAGGACCAUCAGUGGCGAAGGCGCCUGGCUGGAACGGGUCCGACGGUGAGGGGUGAAGGCUGGGGGAGCGAACGGGAUUAGAUACCCCGGUAGUCCCAGCAGUAAACGCUGCCCACUAGGUGUCGCGGGGCCCUAGUGGUCUCGCGGUGCCGAAGCGAAAGCAUUAAGUGGGCUACCUGGGGAGUACAGCCGCAAGGCCGAAACUUAAAGGAAUUGGCGGGGGAGCACAACAAGGGGUGAAGCCUGCGGUUUAAUUGGAGUCAACGCCGGGAACCUCACCUAGGGCGACAGCAGGAUGAAGGACAGUCUAAAGGGCUUUCCUGACGCGCUGAGAGGAGGUGCAUGGCCGCCGUCAGCUCGUACCGUGAGGUGUCCCCUUAAGUGGGGCAACGAGCGAGACCCUCGCCCCUAGUUGCUACCUACAGCACUUGCUGUAGGGCACACUAGGGGGACUGCGCCCGUUAAGGGCGAGGAAGGUGAGGGCGACGACAGGUCAGUAUGCCCCGAAUCCCUAGGGCUACACGCGGGCUGCAAUGCGUAGGACAAUGGGAUGCCACCCCGAAAGGGGGAGCAAAUCCCCUAAACCUACGCCCAGUUCAGAUCGAGGGCUGCAACUCGCCCUCGUGAAGCCGGAAUCCCUAGUAACCGCGGUUCAUCACGCCGCGGUGAAUACGUCCCUGCUCCUUGCACACACCGCCCGUCAAGCCAACCGAGUCGGGUUUAGGUGAGUGGCAAUCUUCGGGUUGUCACGAACCUAAACCUGGCGAGGGGGGCUAAGCCGUCACAAGGUAGCCGUACGGGAACGUGCGGCUGGAUCACCUCCU